UCCCUGGUGGCUCAGAUGGUAAAGCGUCUACCUACAAUGUGGGAGAACUGGGUUUGAUUCCUGGGUCGGGGAG
rfam:TPA: Bos taurus chromosome 9, whole genome shotgun sequence.